AGUCGAGGGGUAACGGAAGUAGCUUGCUACUAGACGACGACCGGCGCACGGGUGAGUAACGCGUAUGUAAUCUGCCUUGUACAGAGGGAUAGCCCAGAGAAAUUUGGAUUAAUACCUCAUAGUAUUACCGAAUCGCAUGAUUUGGUAAUUAAAGCUCCGGCGGUACAAGAUGAACAUGCGUGACAUUAGCUAGUUGGUAAGGUAACGGCUUACCAAGGCCACGAUGUCUAGGGGUUCUGAGAGGAUGAUCCCCCACACUGGUACUGAGACACGGACCAGACUCCUACGGGAGGCAGCAGUGAGGAAUAUUGGUCAAUGGACGCAAGUCUGAACCAGCCAUCCCGCGUGAAGGAUGACUGCCCUAUGGGUUGUAAACUUCUUUUAUAUGCAAAUAAACCUACUUUCGUGAAAGUAGCUGAAGGUAGCAUAUGAAUAAACACCGGCUAACUCCGUGCCAGCAGCCGCGGUAAUACGGAGGGUGUAAGCGUUAUCCGGAUUUAUUGGGUUUAAAGGGUACGUAGGCGGUAGUAUAAGUCAGUGGUGAAAUCCUG
rnacentral:rRNA from 1 species